UGGCUUAAAAACAAAGAAAAUGAGUGGAAUAUUAGAUUAGAUCUACCUUUAUAGAACACACAGAAAUACAUAUCUAAAAUUAUUAAAUCUACCUUCAAAUGAGUGGAAGAUGAGAACCAUGUGAUGAAAAACCUGCAAAACAAGAUAAACUAGUGAGAAAGACAUGAAACAAAAACAAUAAAUUGAUAUAAAGUUUGGUGUUUAUAAGUUUAAAUAGAUUAGAGAGAGUUUGAAGAGUUUUAGAAUGAGGAACAUAUGAUUUUUGUUGCAGCCAUUUGAGAGGAGAAGAGAGAAUGUGUAAAUAUUUUUUUUAAUAUAUGGAGACAAAAAUUUCAAUAAAGUUAAAUAUUUUCGAUCAGAAGACUUACUAGACGACUUUAAGACUUCAAUAUUUUUAGCGGAAAACUAAAAUUUUUUUAGCGGGAGUUAGAAUACUUCCCAGACGACUUACAUGUUAGUCGUGUAGACCCUAAACAUAAGAAACAAAAACAAUAAAUUGAUAUAAAGUUUGGUGUUUAUAAGUUUAAAUAGAUUAGAGAGAGUUUGAAGAGUUUUAGAAUGAGGAACAUAUGAUUUUUGUUGCAGCCAUUUGAGAGGAGAAGAGAGAAUGUGUAAAUAUUUUUUUUAAUAUAUGGAGACAAAAAUUUCAAUAAAGUUAAAUAUUUUCGAUCAGAAGACUUACUAGACGACUUUAAGACUUCAAUAUUUUUAGCGGAAAACUAAAAU
rnacentral:lncRNA from 1 species